GGAGGAGGACUGGCUCCUGAGGGAAGGAGGUAGCACCUUGUACAGAGCAGUGUUGGGCAGGCUUGGGGGAGCAGAGGAGAGCUCCAGCCCAGUUACUUGCCAGGCUGUGGCCCCUGCUAAAAAGGAUCAAGAAGGUGCACAGGCCAAAGGGGAAGUAACUUAGGGAUGAUAGGCAUACAAGAGGGGAGAAAAGGAGCAACAGAGGGAGGCUGCUGCUAGAGGAUCCCUGGGUUGGGACCCAGAGUAGCAGGAGGGCCUGGGUUCCCCACUCCCCCCCACCCCUUGCACUGCACCUGGCCAUGGAGGAGUGUGGCUGAGACUGAUUGCAACUUGCUCCUGAGGUGAGAGACUAGACUUCGGGGUUGUGCUUGGCCACUGAGGCAGGUGCAAGCUGAAGGACUGUUGUUACCCCACACCCCCAGAAGGGGAGUGAGAGUGGAGUAGUGGACACUGCUGGACACCACCGAGUGGGGAGCAAUGUGGUUCCCAAAUCAGCAGAGCAGACAAUGGGUGAGACACCAUGCGUGGAGGGCACUCCUCAGCUGACAAGAGCUAAUUCCUGGAGCAACCAGCAGGAAGUGCCAGUGGUGAUUCUCUGCUGGAGACUUCGAUGCAGGAACUGCAUUGAUGUAUAUAAACUGAUGAGCUGACCUCUACAAGACCUUUCCAUAAAGGGAGGAUUUGCCAUCUUGUGAAUAGUCAUCCCUGAGUUAUCUCUGAGCCUGAGCCUUUUAAAGCCUGAAACACGGGCAAUGAAAAUUCUCAAGCACUUGCAGUACGAGUAAGAACACUCCUGGACUAUGGCAGUAAAAAUGAUAUCUAGAUUGUGCAUGAAGAUCAACUUAGCAUGACAGGAGGCAUUGCCCCAGGCUCAGAUAUGCUUGUUUUCUGUAUAUGUUCAGUGAAAAGGAAGCCAAGUGUUCAAAUCCAUCCUUAGCCUAUUACUAAGUGUUCUUCGGCUAGGUCUUGUACUGUGCGGAUGGACUAAGAUGGAUUGCAAAAACCAAGUCCUUUUAUUCCCUGCAGUUGAAUGGCCCCCAGCUGUUUUCUUUCUUUCAAUAUGCUCUUCCUAAUACCUCUUUCCCACACUUAAAAAUCCCAACACCAGACCCAGUAGCUAUGAAACAUACCUCUGUGCUGGGUUCCAAUUGCAGCUGAUUUCAAAUCUUACCCAUUCUGGUAUGUUUAUCCUUGAGACUUAUGAAAUUGGAUUUCAGUGUUACUUCUGUGCCCAUCAGAAAAAAGGCCUCCUGUUAGCCUAACAGGCUUUUCAAAGGUAGAGGGGCCAUUGUGGGAUAGAAUUGGUGAUCGUGAGACCAGGAGUUGGGGCCUGUUGAGGGGUUGGGGGAGAAUGACAAGAGCCUUAUUUGAAAGUUGUAGGACGACAAGGUAGAAACUGUGGCCUUGCUGGGCGACAGAACACUGGAGUGUGUGUUAAAAGCACAGCCCUGCGAUAUGGAUUGUGUCACAUGUAAAGGGGUGCCACCCUAACAGUAUCUCCCAACAAUGCUGGUCUAGCCAGAAUGUAGAGGAAAGAGCUGAGGAUAUCCCCAUCUUCCCAGCUUGCAGCAGGAAGGCUAGCACCAUUGUCUUUGCUAGCCAGGAGGAGUCUUUCUAGGCCUUGGGCUCAAGAACUGCUAUAGUGCCUGGCCACAUGCAGAGGCGUGUAAUUGGGGGAAGAGGGAGACUUCUUGCACACCCAUGCACGCCCUGACACAAUCUGUACCAGAAAGAAGGUUGAGGAAUUCUUUUGUGAAUUGAUCCAAAUCUGAAAAAUGACUUGGGUUCAGUUUGUGGGAAAGCUAAUCUGAUUUCAUAUGGUUCUUAUUGUUCCUGAACCAGUCAGCCUAUUUGUACCCUUAAACCUGCAAUGAACCCAAGCAUCCUACAGAAAAUCCUACAUGACCUCAUAAGACUGCCUAAAAUCCACUCCCUCCAAGGGCUCCAUAUUCCCAAAGAUUGAGUUCAAAUCUCAACACAAAAAAUGACUACUUAAUUAUUUUUGAAUUAGCAACUGUUUGGAACCUCUUUUAGUACAAAUUCAAACUACUAAUGUUCAUUUCCUAGCCCUACCUGCAGAGAACUUCAGAUGAUGUGUUUCCAUUUAAUUUUCUCCUUUGAAAGCUGAGUACCUAUGGUUACCUGCAUGAUGGAGGUGAUAAUAUAUAUUCCCAGAAGUGAUAGCUGCAGUAAAGAACUAUACUUGCUGUGAAGAUCAAAGGAUCAGCUAUAUCAAAAAGUCACCAGAGCUGAGGAGAGCACUUUACUACUCAAAAUUCCUUGCUGAGGUAUCUGUGAGCUGUGGAGGAAUGAUGGGAAAAAAGCACUGUCCAUGCUGUGCUAGAGAAUCAGCAGGACAUUAAUUUGUUGUGUUUUAUUUGUAGGCUAGGAAAGUCCAAAUAAGCCUCAUGAAUUAUCAAUGGGAAAGGUUAUCACUAUAUAUAAAUGCACACAAUACUUGUUCACUCCAGUUCAAUGUGGACAUUGCUGCACUGCAGUUUAAAUCUUUACAUUAGUUUUCUCCCCCACCCCUAUUUUUCCUUUUUAUUUUUUGAUAUCUCAAAUGUAACAAGUAAUGGCCUGGCUUAAGUGAAAAAUUAUUUGGGUUUCCAACAGGGUGGACUAAUAUCAAACAGACAGCUCCAUCUAGUGGUAUAAUUAGACAUCAUUUUGAAUUUACACCAUUGUCUUGUUGCACAAGACACUCCUAGCAAGAAAUUAUUUUGGCUAAAAACAUUUGUCUUAACUGUGGUCACAACAGGUAGAAAACAUGAUUACUUAGUGAAUCAUAUGUUACUUGAAAUAGUAUAUACAAGAAACUAUAUAAAAGGUUUUUUUCAUCUAUACAUUCUUUUAAAAGCUGCUGAAGUUGUGUGAUGGUGAGAGCCAUAUAGACUGUAUCUGCUGUUUAACUUUAAGACUCUAUUUCCUCUUGUGUAGCCCUUUCCUCCAAGAAACAUAAUCAGAAGCUAGCACUAUGAACAGCACUAGAGCAGAAGAAGACGUAAUUCUCUAAAGAUUCAUAUGCAGUUAAACUAGGAAUAUUUUAGGGUGCUAUGUAUUGAUAGGAUUAAA